rnacentral:rRNA from 1 species
AUUGAACGCUGGCGGCAGGCCUAACACAUGCAAGUCGAGCGGAUGAGAGGAGCUUGCUUCUCGAUUCAGCGGCGGACGGGUGAGUAAUGCCUAGGAAUCUGCCUGGUAGUGGGGGACAACGUUUCGAAAGGAACGCUAAUACCGCAUACGUCCUACGGGAGAAAGCAGGGGACCUUCGGGCCUUGCGCUAUCCGAUGAGCCUAGGUCGGAUUAGCUAGUUGGUGAGGUAAUGGCUCACAAAGGCGACGAUCCGUAACUGGUCUGGGAGGAUGAGCAGUCACACUGGAACUGAGACACGGUCCAGACUCCUACGGGAGGCAGCAGUGGGGAAUAUUGGACAAUGGGCGAAAGCCUGAUCCAGCCAUGCCGCGUGUGUGAAGAAGGUCUUCGGAUUGUAAAGCACUUUAAGUUGGGAGGAAGGGUUGUAGAUUAAUACUCUGCAAUUUUGACGUUACCGACAGAAUAAGCACCGGCUAACUCUGUGCCAGCCGCCGCAGUAACAC